AGCCAGCGGACAUUCAGUCAGCACUUGUGAAGUGAGUGAAUAAAGUCUACCGUAAACUGGGAGAGUGCCCACACAUCCUACACUGUGUCUUAAAAAUACUGAAUUGGGGGGCGCCUGGGUGGCUUAGUUGGUUAAGCGUCCGACUUUCGGCUCAGGUCAUGAUCUUACGGUUCGUGAGUUUGAGCCCCGCGUCGGGCUCUGUGCUGUCAGCACAGAGCCUGCUUCGGAUCCUCUGUCUCCCUCUCUCCGCCCCUCCCCCCAAAAAAAUAAAUAAACAUAAAAAAAUAAUUAAAAAACUGAAUUGGAAUGCUUUUAUGCCGCGUCUUGUGCUGCGGUCCUUGCAGCCCCCACCCACUCUCCCCUCCCUUUAUGCCGCCCGCUACCCGUCUGGCCCCUAAGCUUUUCUGUUUGUGACUCUGGGAGUCUGCCAGGACGUUUUCACCAGGCUCUGUUAAAGACUCCCAGGGAAGGAUCUCCACAGCCCAUCUUGAUAAGCGCCACCCCUUUACGGUGCUAGGCUGCAGUUCCAUGUGGAUGUAUUUUUAAUCCUCUCAAGCCCUUUGUUUAGCCCUUGGUGGAGAUGCCCAUCGUGUAAAUUAACACAAUUGCGGAGUCAGAUUAAAAUGCUUCAUUCUACAUUUUACUUUAGGACGUUGGAAAUAUUUUCAGGUGUAACUUAGCACGCGCAUGUUUUCUCUGAGCCCCGUGGGACCACAUCAUUAUAAUGAGGACCUUCCUCUGAGAGCCAUCUCAGAGACUCUGGUAUGUAGGCUUACCCACUACAGCUUGGUCUUCCAGCCUUUCUUUCGGGAGGAUUCUUUACUGUGUUCCCUGGCCACCCGUCAUCGCUGUCUGCCGUGUCUCUGUCUCGGGUGGGCCUGAGUGUGACCAACAAUGAGCAUGUUAUUCUGGGAUCCUAUCCUGAAUACUUUAUACACGAGCCGGCCAUCAUGUGUUGGAAGAUUUCUUCAGGAAAGUAGGGGCUAACCGCUAUAACAACCCCCAAAUCUCAUUGAGGUUUAUUUCUUCUUACUCCCGUGACAGUUCACUGUCAUCUAAGUUGGCAUAGAGCCUCGGAGACUCACGCCCCUUCAUCUGUGGCGUCGCCAGGUGCCAAGGCUUCAGAGUCCUCUGUCCAUCCCCCACGUUCCUUGGACACACGAGAGCAGAGAGGGAGGAGGACCGCACACCAGCAGUGAGCUCCAUCCAGCCAGGAGGUGAUGUAGAUGCACCUCCGUUGGCCUUCCUAAGUCAUGUGGCAGCACUCAGCCACAAGGGAGGCUGGGAGUUAGGUGAACUGUUUCUGCUCUGCACAAAGAGCCAACAUUUUGGCGAGCACGUGGGAGGCUUUUCUACUUCGGCACUUGAUGUGGAUUAUCUGUGGCAGAUUAGAUACUGUGACUCAUCUUGUUUUCAACGUUAACAGCAGUUAGUUCUUUUUGUUGACAUCUCUUUUAAAAUUUACUUUGUAUGUGGUUUUCCUUCUGGUAGAGAAGUCUGUUAAAAUUAUAACACCUCACCUAGAAGGAUUUUAGGGGAGGUUGGUUUUCAGUUAGCCAGUUCUUUCUGUGCAUCCAAUAAAUUUAACAGAUUUCUAACGUGGAGCAAAUUGCAGGGAGAAUUAAGCAAGGUUACAAAUGGGAAGAGAAUAAUGUUUCACCUUCCCUAGAAUUCUUUUCUAUCCAAAGACUCUCAGAUCAUCCAGAAUCUGCCCAACUUUCUGUUGCUAUGGAUUCUUUGAACUUUCUUCCUCCUGGCACAGAGCCAACAGCACCCCCUGGCUGCUUUUCCUUGUACUUGAGAUGUGGAAGGAUGUGGUGCUGGAAGGUUCCCGCCCCCCCCCCCCCCCCGGGGUGAGGCCUGGUAGUUGCAAGAAGCUAGACCCCUGUUAGCGACCACUCCUAAUUGGGGAAAUAGAGCUCCCACCCUUAGAAGUCAGUGGAAAAUUAGACUUUAGGCCCAUAAUUUUGUUCUUGAACUCUUCUGUAGUCUAACUCUCUUGACCAGUUUCCAGUUUUUUCCCAUCAGUAUUUCAUCGAUUCUAAGAUGCACUUUUUUUCACGGUGUGACCUUUCUGAAACAUCUUCACAACCAACAGCAUCAAUGGCAGCAUCGCUCCUUAACAUUUCCUAAGGUAACGACACCUCCUUCGGUUGAUGAGGUCUUGAUUGGUUGAUAAAACAUGAUAUUAUUUUAAUAUAUGGCACGGUCACGUUGAAUUGCACUUUAAGCAAUAGCAAUGAGCUGGUGAUGAUUUGUAUGUCACCGACGUCCGCAAGUCACCAUUUUAUGUUGACUAUUUGUGUUAUCAGUCAUUGCUCAUCCUGUAUUCAUUUUGGAUACUUAAAGUAUUGUUAUGCAUUUAUUAUAAUAAAAUAACUUACAGUUAUUGAACACACAUUAUGCGCCUGACAAUGUUCUAAGAGGCUUAUAUGUAUGAACUGAUUUCAUCCUCACAACGACUUCAUAAAGUAAUUACUAAUAUCCUCAAUUUGCAGAUGAGAAACUGAGUGACAGAGAGAUAAAGGUCACAUAGCAGUGAAGUGAUGAGGUCAGGUUCCAAGCCCCGUCAAGGUGGUUCUAGAAUGCCCAUUCUUCAUGCUAUAUUUAUUUUAUUGUUCUUUAGCUGGUUCGGGAUGGGUCAAUUCUUACAUUUUUCAAGAGAGAUCUUAAUUUUAGCUUUAUUUGCUGCACCAUCAUCAUUGUCUAUUUGUUUUUAAAAUAGGGUUUGGGGUCUCUCUGUUUUGUUUUAGAAAGAUGGAGAUCUAAAAAUAGUCUAUAGCCCUGUAAAUUACAUUUAUAGAGAAAAAAAAAUUUUAACAUCAAACACCUUUGUUCCUAUUAAUGAUUUUGGAACAAUGUCGGAGUUUUGGUUAAAAAUUUAUUGACUUUAAAAACAUCUUUUAUUCCAGUAUUAUUGAUGGAUUAGACCACUACAUUAAAGUUUGCACAUAACGUUGAAAAUGAUUCAUUUUCUUUGCAGUCUUACUGUUAUUUGGCUUUCUUAUACUUGCUCUUCUGUAUGUCUACUGUCAGUAUUCUGUACUAGAUUAUAUCCUAAAUACUGCAAUAUGUAUUUUUCUUUAUAUCCUAUUAUUGAACAGAAUUAAUGCUUA
rnacentral:lncRNA from 1 species